rnacentral:piRNA from 1 species
UACACGAACUGGUUCCUGAAUUGGAGGC